UUGGAGGGCAAGUCUGGUGCCAGCAGCCGCGGUAAUUCCAGCUCCAAUAGCGUAUAUUAAAGUUGUUGCAGUUAAAAAGCUCGUAGUUGAAUUUCGGGAUCAAUAUGUUGGUCGUGCCUUGGUACGUACUGGCGUCAUUGGUCUCUACCUUCUGAAGAACCUCGAUGUCAUUAAUUUGGUGUCUUGGGGAAUCAGGACUGUUACUUUGAAAAAAUUAGAGUGUUUAAAGCAGGCUCACGCUUGAAUACAUUAGCAUGGAAUAAUGAAAUAGGACGUUUGAUUCUAUUUUGUUGGUUUCUAGGAUCGACGUAAUGAUUAAUAGGGAUAGUUGGGGGCAUUAGUAUUCAAUUGUCAGAGGUGAAAUUCUUGGAUUUAUUGAAGACUAACUACUGCGAAAGCAUUUGCCAAGGAUGUUUUCAUUAAUCAAGAACGAAAGUUAGGGGAUCGAAGACGAUCAGAUACCGUCGUAGUCUUAACCAUAAACUAUGCCGACUAGGGAUCGGAUGAUGUUAAUUUUUUAAUGACUCAUUCGGCGCCUUACGGGAAAC
rnacentral:rRNA from 1 species